UUCCUACGGGAGGCUGCAGUGGGGAAUAUUGGACAAUGGGCGCAAGCCUGAUCCAGCCAUGCCGCGUGAGUGAUGAAGGCCCUAGGGUUGUAAAGCUCUUUCACCGGUGAAGAUAAUGACGUUAACCGGAGAAGAAGCCCCGGCUAACUUCGUGCCAGCAGCCGCGGUAAUACGAAGGGGGCUAGCGUUGUUCGGAAUUACUGGGCGUAAAGCGCACGUAGGCGGAUAUUUAAGUCAGGGGUGAAAUCCCGGGGCUCAACCCCGGAACUGCCUUUGAUACUGGGUAUCUCGAGUCCGAGAGAGGUGAGUGGAAUUCCGAGUGUAGAGGUGAAAUUCGUAGAUAUUCGGAGGAACACCAGUGGCGAAGGCGGCUCACUGGCUCGGUACUGACGCUGAGGUGCGAAAGCGUGGGGAGCAAACAGGAUUAGAUACCCCAGUAGUCAC
rnacentral:rRNA from 1 species